rnacentral:rRNA from 1 species
CCUACGGGUGGCAGCAGUGGGGAAUAUUGCGCAAUGGGCGAAAGCCUGACGCAGCGACGCCGCGUGAGGGAUGAAGGUCUUCGGAUCUUAAACCUCUGUCAGCAGGGAAGAACGGUCACUGUGCUAAUCAGCAGUGAAUUGACGGUACCUGCAAAGGCAGCACCGGCUAACUCCGUGCCAGCAGCCGCGGUAAUCCGGAGGGUGUGAGCGUUAAUCGGCAUUAGUGGGCGUAAAGCGCUCGUAGGCGGUAUGUCAAGUCAAGGGUGAAAUCCCCGCGCUCAACGUGGGAACUGCCUUUGAAACUGGCAAACUGGAGUGUGGGAGAGGAGAGUGGAAUUCCAGGUGUAGGAGUGGAAUCCGUAGAUAUCUGGAGGAACAUCGGUGGCGAAGGCGACUAUCUGGGACGUAACUGACGCUGAGGAGCGAAAGCGUGGGUAGCGAACAGGAUUAGAUACCCGGGUAGUC